UUUCAAAAUACAGCCAAAAAUAAACUUUAUAUUUACUAAGGUAUGCAUGCAUGCUAGAUUGAAUCAAUUGAUUGAAUUGAUUUUUUUUUAAUUGAUUGUUCAUUGAGUUUUAAUUUUAAUACACACUUCCUCUCUUCCCUUCAACGUUGCUGUGCCCUACAGGGUCCAUGUUUUAGUUCCUAUGCCUAUGUAACACCCCAUUGUACUACAUGGAAUGCAAUAAAUAAUUUAAUUGAAUUGAAUUGAAAACAUCUAUCUUACGCGGUUUCGAUUUUUUCAUACAAAUGUUUUUUUUCCCGCUAACUCCCGUUUCCGUGGGAAUUUUGCAAUAUCCUGUUGCAACUAAGGUUUAAGUUAACUAAGGUACCUGCAUGCCAAAUUUCAAGCGUCUAACUUAAGCGGUUUAGAUUUUUCAUACAAAAGGAUUUUCCCGCUAAUUCCCGUUCCCGUGGGAAUUUCGGGAAUUCCUUUCUUAGUACACCUCUACGGUGUCUAAGGUACCUGCGUGCCAAAUUUUAAACAUCUUACUUGAAUGGUUUAGAUUUUUCAUACAAAAGGAUUUUCCCGUUAAUUCCCGUUCCCGUGGGAAUUUCGGGAAUUCCUUUCUUAGUGCACCUCCACGGUACCUAAGGUACUUGCAUGACAAAUUUCAAACGUCUAACUUGAAUGGUUUAGAUUUUUCAUACAAAAGGAUUUUCCCGCUAAUUCCCGUUCCCGUGGGAAUUUCGGGAAUUCCUUUCUUAGUGCACCUCCACGGUACCUAAGGUAUCUGCAUGCUAAAUUUCAAAUGUCUAACUUGAGUGGUUUAGAUUUUUCAUACAAAAGGUAUUUCCCGCUAAUUCCCGUUCCCGUGAGAAUUUUGGGAAUUCCUUUCUUAGUGCACCUCUACGGUACCUAUGGUACCUGCAUGCCAAAUUUCAAACGUCUAACUUGAGUGGUUUAGAUUUUUCAUUCAAAAGGAUUUUCCCGCUAAUUCCCGUUCCCGUGGGAAUUUCGGGAAUUCCUUUCUUAGUACACCUCUACGGUAUCUAAGGUACCUGCAUGACAAAUUUCAAACAUCUAACUUGAAUGGUUUAGAUUUUUCAUACAAAAAUAUUUUUCCGCUAAUUCCCGUUCCCGUGGGAAUUUCGGGAAUUCCUUUCUUAGUGCACCUCUACGUUAUCUAAGGUACCUGCAUGCCAAAUUUCAAAAGUCUAACUUGAGUGGUUUAGAUUUUUCAUACAAAAGGAUUUUCCCGCUAAUUCCCGUUCCCGUAGGAAUUUCGGGAAUUCCUUUCUUAGUGCACCUCUACGGUAUCUAAGGUACCUGCAUGCCAAAUUUCAAACGUCUAACUUGAGUGGUUUAGAUUUUUCAUACAAAAGGAUUUCCCUUCACUACUCUGCUCCUAUUGAUUGUAGCGUGAUGAAAAGUAUACUAUGACCUGUCCAGGAGUGUGAAGAAUAAUUGUACCAAGUUUCAUUAAAAUCCGUCCAGUAGUUUUUGUUUCUAUAAGGAACAUACAGACAGACAGACAGACAGACAGACAGACAGACAGACAGACAAAAAUUUUACUGAUUGCAUUUUUGGCAUCAGUAUCGAUCACUUAUCACCCCCUGAUAGUUAUUUUGAAAAAAUAUUUAAUGUACAGAAUUGACCUCUCUACAGAUUUAUUAUAAGUAUAGAUGA